rnacentral:lncRNA from 1 species
UUUGUUCUGUCGAUACUGUAAGAAGUCUGGACACUUAAUUGAUAAAUGUUUCAAGCUGCAUGGGUAUCCACAGAGUCCCACAUUUAACAAGAGAAGGAGGUCUGCUGCUGCCCAUCUGAGUAGUGAUUUGGAUUCAAAUAUUUCUGAUGGUAUAUUGCAUGUUCCUCAAGGGAAUGCUUCUGUUGACCAUCAUUCUACUGCAAGCUUAGAUGGUCCAAGCUCUGUGAUCCCUGGGUUGAGCAAGCAUGAUUAUAACCAGCUGAUGAUGAUGAUACACCAGUCCAAGCUGGGUGAAUCCACUGCUCAAGCUCCUUCUCCCUCAUAUGCACACUUUGCUGGUACUUUGUUGACUGAGAAUCCUGUAUCUGAUUCCAAACUUUGUUUGCUCACCCACAUUCAUUUUGUCACCUGGAUAAUAGAUUCAGGUGCUUCUAAUCAUAUAACUCAUGAUAAGAAUUUACUCUUUAAUAUUGUCCCUUUAGCUCUGCCUUACCUUGUUAGUCUUCCAAAUGGUUAUAAAGUCAAAGUAACCUGUACUGGCUCUUUUGCCUUGACUCCUUUCAUUACCCUUCACAAUGUGCUGCUUGUCCCCUCUUUUAAACACAACUUGAUAUUUGUUCACAAGUUAGUGAAGCAGUUACAUUGUAUUGUUAUGUUCACUGAACAUUCCUGUUUUCUACACAUGAUACAUGACCCUUCUCUGAGGAGGCCACUGGAUCUUGGUAGACAAUCUGCUGGACUGUAUAAACUAGCUUGGUCUCCUUCUUCCCCU